GCUUCUAGAAACAAUAGACUCAUAUAGCAAGGUGGCAGGCUACAAAAUUAACACACAGAAAUCAAUGGCCUUUUUAUACACCAAUAAUGAAAGGGAAGAGAAGGAAGUCAAGAAGGCAAUCCCAUUCACAUUAGUGCCACACAAACUCAAAUAUCUUGGAAUCAACUUGACCAAAGAUGUGAAGGAC